rnacentral:rRNA from 1 species
GAUGAACGCUGGCGGCGUGCCUAAUACAUGCAAGUCGUGCGAACAGACGAGGAGCUUGCUCCUCUGACGUUAGCGGCGGACGGGUGAGUAACACGUGGAUAACCUACCUAUAAGACUGGGAUAACUUCGGGAAACCGGAGCUAAUACCGGAUAAUAUAUUGAACCGCAUGGUUCAAUAGUGAAAGACGGUUUUGCUGUCACUUAUAGAUGGAUCCGCGCCGCAUUAGCUAGUUGGUAAGGUAACGGCUUACCAAGGCAACGAUGCGUAGCCGACCUGAGAGGGUGAUCGGCCACACUGGAACUGAGACACGGUCCAGACUCCUACGGGAGGCAGCAGUAGGGAAUCUUCCGCAAAGGGCGAAAGCCUGACGGAGCAACGCCGCGUGAGUGAUGAAGGUCUUCGGAUCGUAAAACUCUGUUAUUAGGGAAGAACAAAUGUGUAAGUAACUAUGCACGUCUUGACGGUACCUAAUCAGAAAGCCACGGCUAACUACGUG